GGUCCUGUAGUGUAGCGGUUAUCACAUGGGAUUCUGACGUCACUUGUCCUUCCCAUGACCCAGGUUCGAUUCCUGGCAGGACCU